GAUGAACGCUGGCGGCGUGCCUAAUACAUGCAAGUCGAGCGAACGGACGAGAAGCUUGCUUCUCUGAUGUUAGCGGCGGACGGGUGAGUAACACGUGGAUAACCUACCUAUAAGACUGGGAUAACUUCGGGAAACCGGAGCUAAUACCGGAUAAUAUUUUGAACCGCAUGGUUCAAAAGUGAAAGACGGUCUUGCUGUCACUUAUAGAUGGAUCCGCGCUGCAUUAGCUAGUUGGUAAGGUAACGGCUUACCAAGGCAACGAUGCAUAGCCGACCUGAGAGGAGGAUCGGCCACACAGGAACUGAGAAACGGUCCAGACUCCUACGGGAGGCAGCAGUAGGGAAGCUUCCGCAAGGGGCGAAAGCCUGACGGAGCAACGCCGCGUGAGUGAUGAAGGUCUUCGGAUCGUAAAACUCUGUUAUUAGGGAAGAACAUAUGUGUAAGUAACUGUGCACAUCUUGACGGUACCUAAUCAGAAAGCCACGGCUAACUACGUG
rnacentral:rRNA from 1 species